UGUGGAGAUCCCAUGAUAUUUGAUGGUGCAAGAAACCUUACUGUUCUUAGAAAAUUUUAGAUCGUCUAAGAUCUUCAAAAUCUUUCAAUUACCAUGUUGCUUCUGUUGGGGUAUACCGCAAGGAAAGUGGAGUGUGUCUAGAAGUCUUCCAUGACUAGUUCACUGUUGUCCAAACAUAUGACACCACUAAUUGACUAAGCAAGCAACUUCGUAAAAGUUCAUCCUGUGCUGGAGCACAGUUAUAAUUAUCCUAGUUCAGAACUGGGCUUUAUGUUAUUGUUCCACUUGGGCCCUAACAUGCAGUGAUAUCAAUUGAAUUGAAUCUAAAAUUUCAUCAGUUUUAGA
rnacentral:misc_RNA from 1 species